rnacentral:rRNA from 1 species
AACGAACGCUGGCGGCAGGCUUAACACAUGCAAGUCGAGCGCCCCGCAAGGGGAGCGGCAGACGGGUGAGUAACGCGUGGGAAUCUACCCAUCUCUACGGAAUAACGCAUGGAAACGUGUGCUAAUACCGUAUACGUCCUUCGGGAGAAAGAUUUAUCGGAGAUGGAUGAGCCCGCGUUGGAUUAGCUAGUUGGUGGGGUAAAGGCCUACCAAGGCGACGAUCCAUAGCUGGUCUGAGAGGAUGAUCAGCCACGCUGGGACUGAGACACGGCCCAGACUCCUACGGGAGGCAGCAGUGGGGAAUAUUGGACAAUGGGCGCAAGCCUGAUCCAGCCAUGCCGCGUGAGUGAUGAAGGCCCUAGGGUUGUAAAGCUCCUUCACCGGUGAAGAUAAUGACGGUAACCGGAGAAGAAGCCCCGGCUAACUUCGUGCCAGCCGCCGCGGUAACAC